AUUGAACGCUGGCGGCAUGCCUUACACAUGCAAGUCGAACGGUAACAGGUUAAGCUGACGAGUGGCGAACGGGUGAGUAAUGUAUCGGAACGUGCCCAGUCGUGGGGGAUAACUGCUCGAAAGAGCAGCUAAUACCGCAUACGAUCUACGGAUGAAAGCGGGGGAUCGCAAGACCUCGCGCGAUUGGAGCGGCCGAUAUCUGAUUAGCUAGUUGGUGGGGUAAAGGCCCACCAAGGCGACGAUCAGUAGCUGGUCUGAGAGGACGACCAGCCACACUGGGACUGAGACACGGCCCAGACUCCUACGGGAGGCAGCAGUGGGGAAUUUUGGACAAUGGGGGCAACCCUGAUCCAGCCAUGCCGCGUGCAGGAAGAAGGCCUUCGGGUUGUAAACCGCUUUUGUCAGGGAAGAAAUCUUCUGGGUUAAUACCUCGGGAGGAUGACGGUACCUGAAGAAUAAGCACCGGCUAACUACGUGCCAGCCGCCGCCGUAA
rnacentral:rRNA from 1 species